UAGGGAAUCUUCCGCAAUGGACGCAAGUCUGACGGAGCAACGCCGCGUGAGUGAAGAAGGAUUUCGGUUCGUAAAACUCUGUUGUUAGAGAAGAACAGCGCAUAGAGUAACUGUUAUGCGUGUGACGGUAUCUAACCAGAAAGCCACGGCUAACUACGUGCCAGCAGCAGCGGUAAUACGUAGGUGGCAAGCGUUGUCCGGAUUUAUUGGGCGUAAAGCGAGCGCAGGCGGUCAAUUAAGUCUGAUGUGAAAGCCCCCGGCUCAACCGGGGAGGGUCAUUGGAAACUGGUUGACUUGAGUGCAGAAGAGGAGAGUGGAAUUCCAUGUGUAGCGGUGAAAUGCGUAGAUAUAUGGAGGAACACCAGUGGCGAAGGCGACUCUCUGGUCUGUAACUGACGCUGAGGCUCGAAAGCGUGGGUAGCAAACAGG
rnacentral:rRNA from 1 species